UAUAAAUGGAGAAGAUAUCAAUCGCCCGACAUUAGAAACUGCCAACCAUGAAUUACCUUUGGAUCAAUUUGAUUGUAGUCCUUUACGCUUUCGUACAAUGCGGAAGAGUGCCGGAUAAUUUUGUACCAGACCCUCGCUGCUCGUUGCUGCCAACGGAUGAUGAAAGUGGCACCACUUUUUGUCCAGAAGGAACCUUCUUAUUUAGUUUCGAUACGGAUACGAAUACCUGCCAGAAUUGGACGUUCUAUGGCUGCAAUAUACCAUAUGGCAAUAAAUUCCACAGUUACGAAGCAUGUCAAAUUGCUUGCAAUCCUAGAGGUAGAUUACAACGAAAUUAGGAAAACAAAUAAGCACUAAUUUCUAUCCAAUCAACUAGUUUGAAUGGCAGUUUCACCUGAUCUUUACCUCUUUUAAAUAAAGUGCUCCAUUUGCUCGACACAUUUAA